AUUUCCCUCUCCUGCACUGGCUGAACUCGGCCAGUGCUGCAGGGGGAAACUGACAAGUGUUUUUCCUUGGCUAUAAGGGGUGGGGGGAGUCCCACCCCACCCCUUAAAGCCAAGGAAAAAUGGU